GACGAACGCUGGCGGCGUGCUUAACACAUGCAAGUCGAACGGAAAGGCCCUGCUUUUGUGGGGUGCUCGAGUGGCGAACGGGUGAGUAACACGUGAGUAACCUGCCCUUGACUUUGGGAUAACUUCAGGAAACUGGGGCUAAUACCGGAUAGGAGCUCCUGCUGCAUGGUGGGGGUUGGAAAGUUUCGGCGGUUGGGGAUGGACUCGCGGCUUAUCAGCUUGUUGGUGGGGUAGUGGCUUACCAAGGCUUUGACGGGCAGCCGGCCUGAGAGGGUGACCGGCCACAUUGGGACUGAGAUACGGCCCAGACUCCUACGGGAGGCAGCAGUGGGGAAUAUUGCACAAUGGGCGGAAGCCUGAUGCAGCAACGCCGCGUGCGGGAUGACGGCCUUCGGGUUGUAAACCGCUUUCGCCUGUGACGAAGCGUGAGUGACGGUAAUGGGUAAAGAAGCACCGGCUAACUACG
rnacentral:rRNA from 1 species